AGUGAACGCUGACGGUAGGCCUAACACAUGCAAGUCGAACGGCAGCACAGUAAGAGCUUGCUCUUACGGGUGGCGAGUGGCGGACGGGUGAGGAAUACAUCGGAAUCUACUUUUUCGUGGGGGAUAACGUAGGGAAACUUACGCUAAUACCGCAUACGACCUACGGGUGAAAGCAGGGGAUCUUCGGACCUUGCGCGAUUGAAUGAGCCGAUGUCGGAUUAGCUAGUUGGCGGGGUAAAGGCCCACCAAGGCGACGAUCCGUAGCUGGUCUGAGAGGAUGAUCAGCCACACUGGAACUGAGACACGGUCCAGACUCCUACGGGAGGCAGCAGUGGGGAAUAUUGGACAAUGGGCGCAAGCCUGAUCCAGCCAUACCGCGUGGGUGAAGAAGGCCUUCGGGUUGUAAAGCCCUUUUGUUGGGAGAGAAAAGCAGCAGGUUAAUACCCCGCUGUUCUGACGGUACCCAAAGAAUAAGCACCGGCUAACUUCGUG
rnacentral:rRNA from 1 species